GACGAACGCUGGCGGCGUGCUUAACACAUGCAAGUCGAACGGUGACGAGGAGCUUGCUCCUCCGAUCAGUGGCGAACGGGUGAGUAACACGUGAGCAACCUGCCCCUCACUCUGGGAUAACAGUUGGAAACAGCUGCUAAUACCGGAUACGACACAGACAGGCAUCUGUACUGUGUGGAAAGUUUUUCGGUGAGGGAUGGGCUCGCGGCCUAUCAGUUUGUUGGUGGGGUAAUGGCCUACCAAGACGACGACGGGUAGCCGGCCUGAGAGGGCGACCGGCCACACUGGGACUGAGACACGGCCCAGACUCCUACGGGAGGCAGCAGUGGGGAAUAUUGCACAAUGGGCGAAAGCCUGAUGCAGCGACGCCGCGUGAGGGAUGACGGCCUUCGGGUUGUAAACCUCUUUCAGCAGGGAAGAAGCGAAAGUGACGGUACCUGCAGAAGAAGCACCGGCUAACUACGUG
rnacentral:rRNA from 1 species